GUGAGGAAUAUUGGUCAAUGGGCGAGAGCCUGAACCAGCCAAGUAGCGUGAGGGAUGACUGCCCUAUGGGUUGUAAACCUCUUUUGCAGGGGGGUAAAGUGGUUCACGUGUGGACCAUUGCAAGUACCCUGCGAAUAAGGAUCGGCUAACUCCGUGCCAGCAGCCGCGGUAAUACGGAGGAUCCGAGCGUUAUCCGGAUUUAUUGGGUUUAAAGGGAGCGUAGGCGGGGGUUUAAGUCAGCUGUGAAAUGCCGUGGCCCAACCAUGGAACUGCAGUUGAAACUGGACCUCUUGAGAGUACAUAAGGAAGGCGGAAUUCGUGGUGUAGCGGUGAAAUGCAUAGAUAUCACGAAGAACUCCGAUUGCGAAGGCAGCUUUCCGGGGUACAUCUGACGCUGAAGCUCGAAAGUGCGGGAAUCAAACAGGAUUAGAAACCCGGGUAGUCC
rnacentral:rRNA from 1 species